rnacentral:misc_RNA from 1 species
GGAAGUAGAAGUCGUAACAAGGUUUCCGUAGGUGAACCUGCGGAAGGAUCAUUAUUGUAUAACCGAGGUGCGAGGGCUGUCGCUGACCCGAAAGGUCGUGCACGCCAGAGUGCCCUCACACACAUCCAUCUCACCCCUAUGUGCACCACCGCGUGGGUCCCCCUUUGGCUUGUUCGGAGGGGGGCUUACGUUUUCACACAAACUUUGUAUGCAGUGUAGAAUGUAUUUUUUGUUUUUGCGAUCACGCAAUCAAUACAACUUUCAACAACGGAUCUCUUGGCUCUC